rnacentral:lncRNA from 1 species
UAAUGAAAUAAAAUACUAAUAAAGUAACAAAGAUAAUUUAAUUACUCUCGUGAUUUGUGAGGCUGACUCAAUAUCUUCAUGAUUUAUUAAAAAAAAUUACUUUAAUACAUAUUGCUAAAAGCCCAUUACAUAUUUUGCAGGUAUAACCACACAUCUCUACUCAAUUUAGGGUUUACACACAAAAGAUCAACUGCGCCGCCCACAUCUCCAGCCGUAAAUCUCCUCUUUUCCUAGACGAUAGAAAUCACCUCUAAUUCCCCUAUUCCCUCGUCUGCAUCUCAAUUCCAGCCCCUUCUCUGUCACGACCGCACUUGCUAAGGAUANCAAACCUAUCUCUGUCGAAAUUAGCAAUAAACUGUACUUCACCCCCCAUAUACAACCUUUUCUUUCCUAAGUGUUGGAAUGAACCACCAUGAUGGAGAUAAAUCCCGAAAAUAUCACUAAAAUCACAUAAAUAGAAAGGAAAAAAAAAUAAUCAGACACCAACUAUACAAUAAAAAAAAACUAAUCAUCAACAAAUACGCAAGUAAUCAUCACACAACUAAUCAUCAACAACAAAAUGCAAUUUUCGAC